rnacentral:sRNA from 1 species
UGGUGAACAUGUUUCAGUAUGAAUUUUAGAGUGGACGCAAACAUUCAAACCACAACACUAGUACUGAUGUCAGUGCGUUAGUAGAAGAAAUCCAGAAGGCAGAACCUCUACUCACAGCUUCACGAACAGAGCAAGUCAAACUUUUCAUACAGAGGUUACAAGAGAAACUCGGCCAGCACAGCAAUCACACAUUCUAUCUUUUUAAGGUUCUCAAAGCACAUAUAUUGCCACUGACUAAUGUUGCACUUAACAAAUCGGGCUCAUGCUUUAUCACAGGAAGCUACGAUCGGACGUGCAAGCUCUGGGACACUGCAUCGGGAGAGGAGCUGAACACCCUGGAGGGCCACAGGAAUGUGGUGUAUGCCAUCGCAUUCAACAAUCCUUACGGAGUCUUUAGUGAUGGUGUGAGCUGAAAGCAGACGCCAGAAGGAUGGAGGGUGGUGAGCAGUGGAGAGAACACAGGGGGCAAAGAGACUUCAGC